rnacentral:rRNA from 1 species
UUUGAUCCUGGGUUCCAGGACGAACGCUGGCGGCCAUCCCUUAAUCCAUCCAAGUUGAACGGAGGAAGCUUCCUGCUUGCAGGGAAGCGGAUUAGUGGCGACCGGGUGAGUAACACGUUGGGGAAUCUGCCCAUGAGCGAGGAAUAACAUUCGGAAACGGAUGCUAAUACCUCAUAAGUUCUCUGACCUCCUGGUCAUUGAAUAAAAGACGGCCUUUGUGCUGUCACUCAUGGAUGAUCCCGCGGCGUAUUAGUUAGUUGGUGAGGUAAUGGCUCACCAAGACCAUGAUACGUAGCCGACCUGAGAGGGUGAUCGGCCACACUGGGACUGAGAACGGCCCAGACUCCUACGGGAGGCAGCAGUAGGGAAUCUUCCACAAUGGGCGCAAGCCUGAUGGAGCAAUGCCGCGUGAAUGAAGAAGGUCUUCGGAUCGUAAAGUUCUGUUAUUAGAGAAGAAUAAGUUGAGGGGUAACUAUCUCGACUUUGACGGUACCUAACCAGAAAGUCACGGCUAACUACGUGCCAGCAGCCGCGGUAAUACGUAGGUGACAAGCGUUGUCCGGAAUUAUUGGGCGUAAAGGGAGCGCAGGCGGUUGGAAUAGUCUGAUGUGAAAGCCCACGGCUUAACCGUGGAAGGUCAUUGGAAACUGUCCAACUUGAAUACAGAAGAGGUAAGUGGAAUUCCAAGUGUAGCGGUGAAAUGCGUAGAUAUUUGGAGGAACACCAGUGGCGAAGGCGACUUACUGGUCUGUAAUUGACGCUGAGGCUCGAAAGCGUGGGCAGCAAACAGGAUUAGAUACCCUGGUAGUCCACGCCGUAAACGAUGAGUGCUAAGUGUUAGGGGGUUUCCGCCCCUUAGUGCUGGAGUUAACGCAU